rnacentral:rRNA from 1 species
GUGGGGAAUUUUGGACAAUGGGCGCAAGCCUGAUCCAGCAAUGCCGCGUGCAGGAAGAAGGCCUUCGGGUUGUAAACUGCUUUUGUACGGAACGAAACGGUCCUGGUUAAUACCCGGGGCUAAUGACGGUACCGUAAGAAUAAGCACCGGCUAACUACGUGCCAGCAGCCGCGGUAAUACGUAGGGUGCAAGCGUUAAUCGGAAUUACUGGGCGUAAAGCGUGCGCAGGCGGUGCUGUAAGACAGGCGUGAAAUCCCCGGGCUUAACCUGGGAAUUGCGCUUGUGACUGCAGUGCUGGAGUGCGGCAGAGGGGGAUGGAAUUCCGCGUGUAGCAGUGAAAUGCGUAGAUAUGCGGAGGAACACCGAUGGCGAAGGCAGCCAUCUGGCCUAAUACUGACACUGAGGUGCGAAAGCAUGGGGAGCAAACAGGAUUAGAAACCCGUGUAGUCC